GCUGUUUUUUGUUUGCUUGUAAGUUGUCUACUGAACAAUCAAAAUUUGUAUGAAAUAUUUUGCGAACUAUUGCGUUAUUUUCGUAACUCGUUCAAUCGAAAGUUAGUGUUUUUUGCGACCAAAUCUGUGGAUAUAAUCGAAAAAUUACAUAAAUUUUCAUAAAAAAAAAACUUUUAGUGAUUGCAUAAGUAUACCAAAUGUAUAUAAAACAUUAAAUAUAUUGAUAUGAAUAGUUGCAUACAUAUGUACAUAUAUUUUAGAAAGUUAAUAAGGUCCAUAAAUGCGAGCUUCAAAAAGUGGUUUUAGUCAAUUAGUUAGUAAUAGUCAACAGUUGCGCUUUUUAAAAUUAUAAUACAAAAUUCAAACUAAAAUAUUUUAUAUGUAUACAUAAAUAUUUAUGUAGUUAAAAUAAUUCCUUUAAAAGAUUAAAGUGACUCUUAUGCAUAGGCAUACAUACUAAACAGUGGAUGUAAACAAGUGUUUCUAAAGUGUCCUACGACAAGAACUUAGUAAGAGUCGAAUAUUUAUGUAUAUAAAUCCCUAGCUAAUUUAAAAAGUAAAACUAGUAGGCGUUUUCGUUAUAAAACUCAGGAUCUGGUAAAAAUUUCUUCCAUAAAAUUUUGUUAGUUAAGGAAAAAAUCGAGAUUUUCGAAAGGGUUUUUAAACGCAUUCCUUCAAUGUACUUGAAACUUUUUUUUUCGUUUCUUUGGAGCAAUCGAAAGAUUAAGCAAAUUCAAGAUUUUGUUCAAAUAUGCCGGCAAGAAUGAAACUUAAAAAACUACUUUACAUCUCAAUACUUUUAAAUACUCGAUUCAAGUCAAAUCGACUCAUUGACGUUUCAGGUUUCCCCGUAUAAACUAGUUAAUUGUGGGGAAAACAUCAAUUAUGAAAAAUACUAAAGAUCAUUUAAGAAUUGUAUCUGUAAACAUCUCAGUACGGCUUGACAAAGCAUUAGGCGUUUCACUUACAUAUGUAUAUACAUAUCUAAUUAAGUUAAAUUAGAAGCAAAACAUUAUUAGUCUCAUUAGACUUGACCCCUUCCUGUUUGAGUCGCGUAGACUAAACUGCCGUCGUUUUUAGAAGGAAUUCGCUUUCUUAUAUGCAGGGCGUACUCUUAUCGUCGUUUUAAGUACUACAAAACCACGUAUCAAGAUAAUGCAAAACCGCUUACGUGAGGUUGCCAAAAUUGUACAGUAACAACUCUCUUUUAUUUAAAACAUUUCUCUCUUUUAUUUAAAACAUUUCUCUCUUUUAUAAAGCAAACCCCUUUCAGGCUAGUUUUAUAAAUCGAUAACAAUCGAUCAAUUACGCGCCUUUGCAGAAUGACGAUACGCGGUUUGUACUUUAAACGACGAUGUGUGUAUAGGUACAUACCUACUAAAAUAUGAAAAACUUAGCUCCGUAAAAACAUAAAGCUACUAAGGAUCCCAUAUAUCGUCUGGUAUACAAAUCUAUUAUUAUAAAUCUAACCGAGGCGACCGGUAUGGUAUGCCAUUGUCGUUGGGUGUAUAUAUUUUCAAAAGCUUUAUAAAAAUGUCAUAAUUCCUUUGAUUGUCGAAAUAUUUAUACACAUACCGCAUAUCAAAAUAACGCGAGAAUAUCAUCUCACACGAGGACUAAAUUGGUUUCACAUUUCUAAAAGGAAUAAGAGAUUUAGGAGACAACAUCAAUAACACUGAUCUACAAAGAGCGGAAGAGGUUUCGGGAGCUGAUUUCUAAAAGACUUUUGUUUUCUUAGUAUCAGAAUAUAAAAUUAAAAUUAUAUAGUUUGAAUAUAUCAGCAAAAGACAAACAUAAAAUGUUUUCAUAGAAUUAUGUUAAUUAAAAUAAUUAAAUUUUUGAUGCUACGAACGAAUGUCUAAAAAAAGCGCUUGGAUAUGAUGUAAAUCAUCUCAUGUUAAUAACCUAAGCUUAUAAAAAGAAAAUCGAAAUUAUUUAAUACUUUCACUUCUUCAAUUAGUUAGGAAUUUUCAUAACGUUUGAUCAAUGCACGAAAGUGGAAUAUAAUAAAACAACAAAUAAUAAAAACGUUAUAAUUUUUAAAAACUUGUUACUUAUUCUUCCGGUUUUGGAACUUACUUUAUUUUACUUUUGGGGUAAACAUCCAAAGAUAAAGCUUCUUUUUCGGCUAUUUAAAAGUCGAAAUUGUGCCUUGUUAUACUACUAUGAAUAAUUUGAAGAUCAGACCCUGAUGGAAAAAAUGCUAUAAGAAUCGGUGACUAAUAGUUAACCCGCUAGAAGUUAAGAUAUUUGAAAGCGGCUGUGGGAUAAGACAAGAAAAAUUAUUUUUUGUAUAUUAAUUUAAUUAUUGUAUUGGAAUCAGCUUACUUGAUUUAUGUUAGAAUAUAAGUAAAUACAACUUAUUAGAAAAUAUUUUAGUUGGUAAACUGUGCUAAUACAAACGUAUGUAUAUUAUGUUAGUAAUCAAUAAAUAAAUAAAUUGUACCUUAAAAGGUCCAACUUCAACAAAACAAGUGCAUAUGUAUGUAUAUUGUGUUAUCUGUGAUUAACUAUUUGAAUACCUGUAGGCCUUAUGGGGCAUAUUCAUAGCCGAAGUAAAGUCGAUUUUAAAGUAACUUGCAGCUUGUUUGACACAUAGUGCAUUGAAAAUUAUGGCAAAAACUAUCUAACUGUAGUGUCGACUUUAUUUUGACUAUGAAUACGCCCCAAUGUAUUUGAUUACACUGUCCGAAAUGGCAACCAUUUUUAGCUUAAUGCCAGUUUUUAGAUUUUUUUUAGACUUCCUUGUCAGGAAUUUUGUAAUUAUUUAACACGUAGUUUAUGCGUACUGGGUAAAAGUCGCGCUCUGGAUGCCCAAGUAAAUUGAGACAGCGAGGAAGGCGUUUGUUUUGCAGUCCGUACAGGUAAAUCCACAGAUCAAAAGUCGCCAAAGAUGUCGAUGAAAUACAUAUAUUUGGUUAGUUCUGGUUACGGAGAUCCAGCUGUCGUGGAAACGAUUCAAGCUGAUCAGCAGAGCUCGGAUUUCGAUGCAAUGCCAUCUUUUUUCUGAAGCUUCGAAGGCGUUUCCUUGUUAUAUAGAAGUUCAAUUCGUACGUUUUUAUAUAUCUUCUUUCUAAUAUCCGGACUUGGCGGGAAAAGUGCGCAUAAAGAGUAGCUUAUAUUUCGUAGCAGCUUGGACUCAGUGAUCACAUUGUCGUACACUCAUUUUCUUGAGGAAGCAAAA